rnacentral:rRNA from 1 species
UGUUGGUGGGGUAAUGGCCCUACCUCAAGGCGACGACGGGGUAGCCCGGCCUGAGAGGGCGACCGGCCACACUGGGACUGAGACACGGCCCAGACUCCUACGGGAGGCAGCAGUGGGGAAUAUUGCACAAUGGGCGAAAGCCUGAUGCAGCGACGCCGCGUGAGGGAUGACGGCCUUCGGGUUGUAAACCUCUUUCAGCAGGGAAGAAGCGAAAGUGACGGUACCUGCAGAAGAAGCGCCGGCUAACUACGUGCCAGCAGCCGCGGUAAUACGUAGGGCGCAAGCGUUGUCCGGAAUUAUUGGGCGUAAAGAGCUCGUAGGCGGCUUGUUGCGUCGGUUGUGAAAGCCCGGGGCUUAACCCCGGGUCUGCAGUCGAUACGGGCAGGCUAGAGUGUGGUAGGGGAGAUCGGAAUUCCUGGUGUAGCGGUGAAAUGCGCAGAUAUCAGGAGGAACACCGGUGGCGAAGGCGGAUCUCUGGGCCAUUACUGACGCUGAGGAGCGAAAGCGUGGGGAGCGAACAGGAUUAGAUACCCUGGUAGUCCACGCCGUAAACGUUGGGAACUAGGUGUUGGCGACAUGCCACGUCGUCGGUGCCNGCAGCAAACGCGAAUAAGUACCCCG